UUAGGAAGCGCCUGCAGCUGUUUCAUAAGCGGCUGCAGCCGUAAAUGUGCAGGCGAAAGUUAAAUAAACGCCACAUGCAAAUCACUGCCCACAAUUUCCCUAGCUCCUCCUGCAGUUAUCUGGGCUAGUGUGAUUUGAUUCUUCCCUGUAUUUUCAAGUACCAGCUCCUCCCCACUGUAGAAGCGGAAGAUUUCAAAACAAGUUUAGCCCAGCACACAGAAGUUUGAAGGAUGAGAAGAUGGCAAGAAGGAACUUCCUAAGACAGUGUAAGCAGACACUAAAUGACUGCACUCAGCUUUUGCUGUCGGAUAACCCUGGACACGACGACCUUCAGUCCAUGUUGACAAAGGCUGGAAACAAUGCAGCGAAGCCUAGAGUGGGCAAAGGGGUACGCUCUUAAAUGUUGCUUCAGCAGACGGCCUGAUAGCUGAAGUGUCCGAGCUCAUGCAGGAGAGUCGCACCCAUGGUCGGCAUGCACAACCAGCCAGUUCCGGUUACCAGGCUCCAUUGACUUGGAGUGGAGCUAGAGGUGCUCCUCAUUAUCACAUCACCGGAGAGCAACUGAGGGGUCUGAUGACAGAUGGCAGAUAUUCUUCACGUGUUCCAUUCUACACUCAAACCACA